rnacentral:rRNA from 1 species
UGCGACGUCACACUGCCGAGAAAAGCUUCUAGCCAGAGACGGUGCACCCGUACCGCAAACCGACACAGGUAGUCGAGGAGAGUAUCCUCAGGUGAGCGAGAGAACUCUCGUUAAGGAACUCGGCAAAAUGGCCCCGUAACUUCGGGAGAAGGGGCGCUGGUCGCAAGAUCAGCCGCAGUGAAAAGGCCCAAGCAACUGUUUAUCAAAAACACAGGCAUCUGCAAAAUCGUAAGAUGAAGUAUAGGUGCUGACACCUGCCCGGUGCUGGAAGGUUAAGAGGAGAGCUUAGCGCAAGCGAAGGUUUGAAUUGAAGCCCCAGUAAACGGCGGCCGUAACUAUAACGGUCCUAAGGUAGCGAAAUUCCUUGUCGGGUAAGUUCCGACCUGCACGAAAGGUGUAAUGAUUUGGGCACUGUCUCAACGAGAGACUCGGUGAAAUUAUAAUACCCGUGAAGAUGCGGGUUACCCGCGACAGGACGGAAAGACCCCAUGGAGCUUUACUGCAGUUUAAUAUUGGGUAUCUGUCAAGCAUGUACAGGAUAGGUAGGAGC